GUAAUUUGGACAAUGGGCGAAAGCCAGAUCCAGCAAUGCCGCGUGCAGGAUGAAGGCCUUCGGCUUGUAAACUGCCUCUGUACGGAACGAACAUCUUUGGGUUAAUACCCUGGAGUCAUGACGGUCGCGUAAGCAUAAGCAACGGCUAACUACGUGGCAGAAACCGCGGUAAUACGUAGGGCGCAAGCGUUAAUCGGAAUUACUGGGCGAAAAGCGUGCGCAGGCGGUUUUGUAAGACAGAGGUGAAAUCCCCGGGCUCAACCUGGGAACUGCCUUUGUGACUGCAAGGCUAGAGUACGGCAGAGGGGAGUGGAAUUCCGCGUGUAGCAGUGAAAUGCGUAGAUAUGCGGAGGAACACCGAUGGCGAAGGCAACCCCCUGGGCCUGUACUGACGCUCAUGCACGAAAGCGUGGGGAGCAAACA
rnacentral:rRNA from 1 species